GCUUCGAGUGGAUGAUCUGUAGAGGCUGGAUGACUUGUGUGGCUUUUCGAUAUCAGUGAGAGCUUCAUACCAUACCUACCAGUAGUAGAGAUCAUUAACCUACGAAAAGGUGAUGAGUUCUGAACUCAACCGAUGUGAUCGAAAGGUUAGAUCAGAUUUAGGGCAUCGAUGUGAUCGAUAUAAUUUUUUAUUUCAUAUUAGAUUUUAUAUGUAAAUUUUUUAUAUCAUAGAUUCUUAAUUGAUAGUUUAG
rnacentral:lncRNA from 1 species